CCUACGGGAGGCAGCAGUGAGGAAUAUUGGUCAAUGGGCGUAAGCCUGAACCAGCCAAGUCGCGUGAGGGAUGAAGGUUCUAUGGAUCGUAAACCUCUUUUAUAAGGGAAUAAAGUGUGGGACGUGUCCUGUUUUGGAUGUACCUUAUGAAUAAGGCUCGGCUAACUCCCUGCCAGCAGCCGCGGUAAUACGGAGGAUCCGAGCGUUAUCCGGAUUUUAUGGGGUUAAAGGGUUCGUAGGGGGCCAGUUAAGUCAGCGGUUAAAGUCUGUGGGUCAACCAUAGAAUUGCCGUUGAAACUGGGAGUCUUGAGUAUGUGUGAGGCAGGCGGAAUGCGUGGUGUAGCGGUGAAAUGCUUAGAUAUCACGCAGAACCCCGAUUGCGAAGGCAGCCUGCC
rnacentral:rRNA from 1 species